rnacentral:piRNA from 1 species
UCACGAUGAGUUGGAUGGGUAGAAGUU